rnacentral:rRNA from 1 species
CACGUAGGCACCAAGCGUUGUCCGGAAUUAUUGGGCGUAAAGGGCUCGUAGGCGGUUUGUCGCGUCGGGAGUGAAAACCUUGGGCUUAACUCAGGGCUUGCUUUCGAUACGGGCAGACUAGAGGUAUGCAGGGGAGAACGGAAUUCCCUGUGUAGCGGUGAAAUGCGUAGAGAUGGGGGAGAACACUCGUGGCGAAGGCGGCCAGCUAGACCAGUUCUGACACUGAGGCGCGACAGCGUGGGGAGCAAACAGG